GGUGGCUCAGUGGUAGAGCACUUGCCUCGCAUGCAUGAGGCCCUGAGUCCGAUUCCUCAGCACCA
rnacentral:tRNA from 1 species